rnacentral:rRNA from 1 species
UAAGCGGAGGAAAAGAAACUAACAAGGAUUCCCUUAGUAACGGCGAGUGAACCGGGAAAAGCUCAAAUUUGUAAUCUGGCUGUCUUCGAUAGUCCGAGUUGUAAUCUAUAGACGUGUUUUCCGUGCUGGACCGUAUCUAAGUCCCUUGGAACAGGGUAUCAAAGAGGGUGACAAUCCCGUGCUUGAUACGACCACCAGUGCUCUGUGAUACACGCUCUACGAGUCGAGUUGUUUGGGAAUGCAGCUCAAAAUGGGUGGUAAAUUCCAUCUAAAGCUAAAUAUUGGCGAGAGACCGAUAGCGAACAAGUACCGUGAGGGAAAGAUGAAAAGCACUUUGGAAAGAGAGUUAAACAGUACGUGAAAUUGUUGAAAGGGAAACGAUUGAAGUCAGUCGUGUUCUUUGGAUUCAGCUAGUUCUUCUAGUCUACUUCCUUUGAACGGGUCAACAUCAGUUUUGUCCGGUGGAUAAAGAUAGUAGGAAUGUAGCUCCCUCGGGAGUGUUAUAGACUAUUAUUGCAUGCACUGGGUGAGACUGAGGACUGCAGCUCGCCUUUUGGCCGGCCUUCGGGUACGUUCGAGCUUAGGAUGUUGACAUAAUGGCUUUAACGACCCGUCUUGAAACACG